ACGGGUGAGCUAACACGCUAUCCAACCUGCCGAUAACUCGGGGAUAGCCUUUCGAAAGAAAGAUUAAUACCCGAUGGNAUAAUCAGACCGCANGGUCUUAUUAUUAAAGAAUUUCGGUUAUCGAUGGGGAUGCGUUCCAUUAGGCAGUUGGUGAGGUAACGGCUCACCAAACCUUCGAUGGAUAGGGGUUCUGAGAGGAAGGUCCCCCACAUUGGAACUGAGACACGGUCCAAACUCAUACGGGAGGCAGCAGUGAGGAAUAUUGGUCAAUGGGCGCAGGCCUGAACCAGCCAAGUAGCGUGAAGGAUGACUGCCCUAUGGGUUGUAAACUUCUUUUAUAUGGGAAUAAAGUUUUCCACGUGUGGAAUUUUGUAUGUACCAUAUGAAUAAGGAUCGGCUAACUCCGUGCCAGCAGCCGCGGUAAUACGGAGGAUCCGAGCGUUAUCCGGAUUUAUUGGGUUUAAAGGGAGCGUAGGUGGACAGUUAAGUCAGUUGUGAAAGUUUGCGGCUCAACCGUAAAAUUGCAGUUGAUACUGGCUGUCUUGAGUACAGUAGAGGUGGGCGGAAUUCGUGGUGUAGCGGUGAAAUGCUUAGAUAUCACGAAGAACUCCGAUUGCGAAGGCAGCUCACUGGACUGCAACUGACACUGAUGCUCGAAAGUGUGGGUAUCAAACAGGAUUAGAUACCCUGGUAGUCCACACAGUAAACGAUGAAUACUCGCUGUUUGCGAUAUACAGUAAGCGGCCAAGCGAAAGCAUUAAGUAUUCCACCUGGGGAGUACGCCGGCAACGGUGAAACUCAAAGGAAUUGACGGGGGCCCGCACAAGCGGAGGAACAUGUGGUUUAAUUCGAUGAUACGCGAGGAACCUUACCCGGGCUUAAAUUGCAUUUGAAUANUUUGGAAACAGNUUAGCCGCAAGGCAAAUGUGAAGGUGCUGCAUGGUUGUCGUCAGCUCGUGCCGUGAGGUGUCGGCUUAAGUGCCAUAACGAGCGCAACCCUUAUCUUUAGUUACUAACAGGUCAUGCUGAGGACUCUAGAGAGACUGCCGUCGUAAGAUGUGAGGAAGGUGGGGAUGACGUCAAAUCAGCACGGCCCUUACGUCCGGGGCUACACACGUGUUACAAUGGGGGGUACAGAAGGCAGCUACCUGGUGACAGGAUGCUAAUCCCAAAAGCCUCUCUCAGUUCGGAUCGAAGUCUGCAACCCGACUUCGUGAAGCUGGAUUCGCUAGUAAUCGCGCAUCAGCCAUGGCGCGGUGAAUACGUUCCCGGGCCUUGUACNAAAACGCCCGUCAAGCCAUGAAAGCCGGGGGUACCUGAAGUACGAACCGCAAGAGCUCCUAGG
rnacentral:rRNA from 1 species